UAUUUUGGUGAGAGGUGUUCAGAAAGGACCGAGGUCAGUAGAAAAUGGAGGAGAAAGCCUUGUGUCUCAUUGCCACAAUUUUCACGAAAUGGUCGGAAAUCUGGGACUGAAAUUGCCAUCGAUCUGUUAUGGAAUGCAUUUGCCAGAAAACGGGUGGUGAGAGAUUUGCCCCAGCAGUGAACGCGUCUUCCGUCUUAAUUAAUGUAAGGAGAUCUUGGCAGUGACUCAACCGUGCACGAGAAGAUUGAAUACGUUCUCCAUCAAUGACGUCAGACUCGUGUUCCACAGCGGCUGCAUCCAUGUCAAGAUUACAUGUCGCUUGUCAGAGUUUGCCUGCUAGUAAAUUUGCAGGGUUGAAACUUAAUAUGAAGUGUAAUGUUUGGUUUGGGUUGUGAAUCGGCUGUAGUUAUUUUAAAACUAUUUCAAAGUAGUGUUCAGGAAGAGUACUUUGCUACACGUACAUGUAGUAGUGGUUUAUUUCCGUGUAGGUGUUGCAACGUAAACAACAAUGCACAUGUAGGACGACCGGUUUUCUUUUUGAUGGUAACAUAUUUGUGAGGACAAAUCUGCAAUUUGGCAGUUCUCCGUGAACAAUUAUUUAUUUAAAAUUGAAUUCUAGUAUUUAUUUUGGUGAUGUUUAGUUUUGGAAAGAAAGAAAACAUUCCAACCGUGUAAAAUGCAUUUUUGGAAGUCUUUGGAAGUUAUUGUUAUAUUGUCAAGUCGUCAAGUUAUAUUGUCAAGUACGCGCCAUAUUUGAUCCACGGACUAGAUAGACGGUGGUUCAACUGGUUGUGAACUCGGUCUAAUGCUUUAGAAAGCGUCUGGAAGUUGCAGUGUGUGUUCAGUUGCUCUUCGGAAGAAAAAAAGAGCGAGAUGUGCAUCCAC